CUCUGUGUUUGCAGGUGUGCAGUGUGAGGUGCAGCUGGUGGAGUCUGGGGGAGGCUUGGUCCAGCCUGGGGGGUCCCUGAGACUCUCCUGUGCAGCCUCUGGAUUCACCUUCAGUAACAGUGACAUGAACUGGGUCCUCUAGGCUCCAGGAAAGGGGCUGGAGUGGGUCUCGGGUAUUAGUUGGAAUGGCGGUAAGACGCACUAUGUGGACUCCGUGAAGGGCCAAUUUACCAUCUCCAGAGACAAUUCCAGCAAGUCCCUGUAUCUGCAAAAGAACAGACAGAGAGCCAAGGACAUGGCCGUGUAUUACUGUGUGAGA
rnacentral:lncRNA from 1 species